rnacentral:lncRNA from 1 species
GUGAUAAAUUUUUUCAUUAUUAAAAAAAAUUUUCAAUUAAUGAAAUAAAACAAAAAUAAACAUGUCACGGAGUGCAAAAGAGCAGUUAGGUUGCAAAAUUAAUAGAGUUGCAAUGAUGAAUAAUUAAUCGACAAACGCUGAUUUACAUUCGAUGGAACGACAAAUCUGACUAGACCACGCACUGCAAUCUGUACUCGUUUAUCCCUUCCAUAAGCGUGCUCC